GGUGGGUUGGUUCAGUGGUUAGAGCUUAGGUCCCGUAACCGAAAGGUCGCGGGAUCGAAUUCCGAAUAGAGGCCG
rnacentral:tRNA from 1 species